rnacentral:rRNA from 1 species
AACGAACGCUGGCGGCAUGCCUAACACAUGCCAGUCGAACGAGACCUUCGGGUCUAGUGGCGCACGGGUGCGUAACGCGUGGGAACCUGCCCUUAGGUUCGGAAUAACUCCCCGAAAGGGGUGCUAAUACCGGAUAAUGUCUUCGGACCAAAGAUUUAUCGCCUUUGGAUGGGCCCGCGUUGGAUUAGCUAGUUGGUAGGGUAAAAGCCUACCAAGGCGACGAUCCAUAGCUGGUCUGAGAGGAUGAUCAGCCACACUGGGACUGAGACACGGCCCAGACUCCUACGGGAGGCAGCAGUGGGGAAUAUUGGACAAUGGGCGAAAGCCUGAUCCAGCAAUGCCGCGUGAGUGAUGAAGGCCUUAGGGUUGUAAAGCUCUUUUACCCGAGAUGAUAAUGACAGUACCGGGAGAAUAAGCUCCGGCUAACUCCGUG